UCUGGAGAAAGGUGACAUCCUACCAGCCCUCAAGCUACUUCUAAGCAACCCCUGAAAUACAAUGUUUGGCACCCUAUCUGAGAUAACCAGAAACAUGAGGGGACAACACACCAUAAAUUAGAAUGAGCAAAAACACCAGGCAAUCAAAAAAGGCACACAAGGGCUCUAGAGAAAAGAAUUUUCAAACACAAUCUCUAAAGUAAUUAUGCUUAUGGUGUUCAAGGUUUUAAAAGGCAAGGUUUAAAAUUCUUAACAGAAAACUGAAAACUUUAAAAAAGCAAGAACAGUUUGGGACAAAGUAAAAAUUCUAGAACUGGAACACAUUAAUCACACAAAGAGUGUGUUUUGCAGCAGGUUAGACCCAGCUGAAGAGAGAAUAUAUAAACUGGAAGGUAAGCCAAAGAAAAUAUGCAGAUGGAAGCAGGCAGAGAAAAAUGAUGGAAAAGAUAAAGGAGGUACAAGACGAGGGGGAUACAAUGAAAGCACAGCAUUUCAGAAGGAAAGGAGAGAACGGACAGAGCAACAUUUGAAGAAAUAAAGGCUGAGGAGGAUCUUGGCUCUUUCGAGGAGUGCUGGCCAGUUAUUUAGUACAACGUCCUUCCAUGUGCGUUUUCCAGUGUUUCCUCGCGGUUGAGUUCAGGAGACACCGGCUGUCCACGUGGGCCCCCCUCAAGCCCCCCUCGGAGGACCUGAUGCUUUACCACCUGCUCUGUGAAGCUCCAUCUGUACCAGGGGGCCCUGUCCCCACUUGCAGGACUCACCCAGGCCCCCGGGCCCCUCUGGAGGGGAGACAUGCCGUCUCCCGCUAGUCUGGAUGUCUCCAGGGAGUGUGUCUGUGAGAAGAUGGGCUCUAGGACGGGACACCUCCUUAGUCCGGGUGAUCGCCAGGCCUGCUUUAGGAGAGGGGAUUGGAGGACAUCCUGGGGGCUCCAUAAGGAGACGAGUGGGGUGUUAGGGAAGCUCACCCGGGCUCAGGGCAGGCACCUGAGAGCCGGAGGGUCAGGGAGCAGCCCGGAGGUGUCCUGUCUGGGGCCUGGGAACCUCCCGAUGCCGCCUGGAUGAGGCCGCAAGCCAACAUUUUCACCCGCUGCCUCACCACCUCUGCCCGCUUGCCUUUUACCCAGGUUUCCCCACUUCCCUGGGCCUCUGUGCUCAUCCUUGCUCUCUGGAGGGGGCGCCCUGCACACAGGAAGGGGACGAAACAGGCCCAAAGGCGUCAGCCUGGAGGAAUCCAUCUUGUGGACUUUGCCAGCACCCUGAGAUCCGCAGUUCCGGAAUUCACUCUCUGUGCUUAGUCGUGAGUGGCUGUGUGACCAGGGAACACUUGUGUGUUUGCGCAGCGCCUUCCAUGAAAUGGAAAUAGUGGCCCCGUGUACCUUACAGGAGCCAUAGGAACCAAGUCUAGUAUGUUACAGCAUUGUAAAAUCACCGGAAAUUCCGAGUCGCAAUUCAAAUGCUCGCCGCUACGUGCCAUAGACUCGCGCGAACCACCGUGAAACACCCAGAAAGUGCUAGUGAGGUCACAGAGCCUC